CUCCUAGGCGGUGGCCCUGGCGGAAGGCUUCCUCCUGAGCCAGGCAGAGGAGCAGAAGGAGCAGCUCCGGUGGCAGCGCUGCACUGUGGAGAUCAGAGAUCCUGAAGGAAAGAAGAACCCAUCAAAUCCCCCUCAGGAACUAUUUUUCAGGAGGAUCCCUUGGGAAGACCAAAGUCAGGACACCUCAGGAG